rnacentral:rRNA from 1 species
UGGGGAAUAUUGCACAAUGGGCGCAAGCCUGAUGCAGCCAUGCCGCGUGUGUGAAGAAGGCCUUCGGGUUGUAAAGCACUUUCAGCGGGGAGGAAGGCGAUAAGGUUAAUAACCUUGUCGAUUGACGUUACCCGCAGAAGAAGCACCGGCUAACUCCGUGCCAGCAGCCGCGGUAAUACGGAGGGUGCAAGCGUUAAUCGGAAUUACUGGGCGUAAAGCGCACGCAGGCGGUCUGUCAAGUCGGAUGUGAAAUCCCCGGGCUCAACCUGGGAACUGCAUUCGAAACUGGCAGGCUAGAGUCGUGUAGAGGAGGGUAGAAUUCCAGGUGUAGCGGUGGAAUGCGUAGAGAUCUGGGGGAAUACCAGUGGCGAAGGCGGCCCCCUGGACAAAGACUGACGCUCAGGUGCGAAAGCGUGGGGAGCAAACAGG